UACGGAGGGUGCAAGCGUUAUCCGGAUUCACUGGGUUUAAAGGGUGCGUAGGUGGCUUUGUAAGUCAGUGGUGAAAGCCCGGAGCUUAACUCCGGAACUGCCAUUGAUACUGCUUAGCUUGAAUCAGGUCGAGGUGGAUGGAAUAUUACAUGUAGCGGUGAAAUGCUUAGAUAUGUAAUAGAACACCGAUUGCGAAGGCAGUUCACUGAGCCUGUAUUGACACUGAGGCACGAAAGCGUGGGGAUCAAACAGG
rnacentral:rRNA from 1 species